rnacentral:rRNA from 1 species
CCUACGGGAGGCUGCAGUGGGGAAUAUUGCACUAUGGGGGGAACCCUGAUGCAGCGACGCCGCGUGAGUGAAGAAGUAUUUCGGUAUGUAAAGCUCUAUCAGCAGGGAAGAAGAUGACGGUACCUGACUAAGAAGCCCCGUCUAACUACGUGCCAGCAGCCGCGGUAAUACGUAGGGGGCAAGCGUUAUCCGGAUUUAUUGGGUUUAAAGGGUGCGUAGGCGGACUGUUAAGUCAGCGGUAAAAGCCCGGGGCUCAACCCCGGCGAGCCGUUGAAACUGGCUGUCUUGAGAUGUCGAGAGGUAUGCGGAAUGCGCGGUGUAGCGGUGAAAUGCUUAGAUAUUGCGAGGAAAUCCGAUUGCGAAGGCAGCAUACCGGCGGCGAUCUGACGCUGAGGCACGAAAGCGUGGGUAUCGAACAGGAUUAGAUACCCCGGUAGUC